rnacentral:misc_RNA from 1 species
GAUGAAGAACGUAGCGAAAUGCGAUAAGUAAUGUGAAUUGCAGAAUUCAGUGAAUCAUCGAAUCUUUGAACGCACAUUGCACCCUUUGGCAUUCCGAAGGGCACACCUGUCCGAGCGCCGUCGCACAACUGAGGCGCAGCCUUGCGUUGGCGGGCGACUUGUGAGUAGCGAGUCGCCGCCCAAACGAGACGGCGCCGCGCCGCGGCCGACGAAGCACGAAAGCGGAAGUCGACGCGGAGGCGGUUGCCUGUAGGAAGACACAGCUUGGCCUCGGAUCAGGUGGGGAUACCCGCUGAACUUAAGCAUAUCAAUAAGCGGAGGA